GGGGACUCGGGUAGUGGCGCACGGGUGCGUAACGCGUGGGAACCUGCCUUUAGGUUCGGAAUAACUCAGAGAAAUUUGAGCUAAUACCGGAUAAUGUCUUCGGACCAAAGAUUUAUCGCCUUUAGAUGGGCCCGCGUUAGAUUAGAUAGUUGGUGGGGUAACGGCCUACCAAGUCGACGAUCUAUAGCUGGUCUGAGAGGAUGAUCAGCCACACUGGGACUGAGACACGGCCCAGACUCCUACGGGAGGCAGCAGUGGGGAAUAUUGGACAAUGGGCGAAAGCCUGAUCCAGCAAUGCCGCGUGAGUGAUGAAGGCCUUAGGGUUGUAAAGCUCUUUUACUAGGGAUGAUAAUGACAGUACCUAGAGAAUAAGCUCCGGCUAACUCCGUGCCAGCAGCCGCGGUAAUACAGAGGGAGCUAGCGUUGUUCGGAAUUACUGGGCGUAAAGCGCGCGUAGGCGGCAUAUCAAGUCAGGGGUGAAAUCCCGGGGCUCAACCCCGGAACUGCCCUUGAAACUGGUACGCUAGAAUACUGGAGAGGUGAGUGGAAUUCCGAGUGUAGAGGUGAAAUUCGUAGAUAUUCGGAAGAACACCAGUGGCGAAGGCGACUCACUGGACAGUUAUUGACGCUGAGGUGCGAAAGCGUGGGG
rnacentral:rRNA from 1 species